AUGAGGACGAUGAAGAAGAUGAGAAAUAUGAGGAAGACGACGAAGAGGAAGAAGAAGUCAAGAAGUCACGCAGGAAGAUCCGCAAGAAGGCCAAGAAGAAGGCUGUCCAAAUGAGGAUGCUAUUAUACAUGUUAUCACAGUCCGAACUAACUCACAAAGACAGGAGCUGAAGAAAAAAUUCAAAACUGCUUAUGGCACAGACCUGGUUGAGCGCCUGAAAUCAGAACUGAGCGGAAACCUGAAGGAGUGUGUUAUGGCUCUGUUCGUGAGUCCGGAGGAGUAUGAUGCCUGGUGUGUGAGGAACGCUAUAUAUUUGCUUUCCCUGACCUGAAAGCCCCAGAGAAUGCACUAGAGGAAGACAUUGAAGGUGACACAUCUGGAGACUACAAACGUCUACUGAUAUCGACAAGCCAGGAUAAUUGUAACAUUAUUGACCUUGAGAGACUGGAGGAGGCUGUGGAGAAAGAUCAAGACAUGCCCACAGGAAUGUUUGCAGUCAACCAUGAUAAGUUGGUGAACGUGGGUAGGGCAGAGCGUGACACACAGAAGUUAAUGUUUGAAGCAGAUCAGGAUAGCUGGGGCACAGAUGAGACCUUUUAUCAAAUCUUUUCCAUACGUGACCUGUACCAGCUCAGGAGGACUUGUGCUGAAUACUUAAAGGUCAGCUCAUGUUCAUGGUUACACCAAAAUAUGAAAAAUGAAAUAUAAACCAAAUCACAUGUAAUUAAUUUCUCAAAAUCUGAAGAAGUUAGAGGAUAUACUUUAAUCUGUAGCUGGUAAAAGUCGCCACUGACAAUAAUUUGUACUCCACCAAAAGGUUGGUAAUUUCCCUUGACAUUCUGCAAUACAAACUCUCUUUGGUCAAAUAAUUUACAGCCUACAAAUAAAUUUCAUCAAUUAUUAAAACGUUCACUUCCAAAAUAUAUCUACACCUGCUUUCAUCGUGGUCAAAUAAAUUACACAACUCUGUGUUUGUGGGGUGGCACGAUCUACCCCCAAACAACCUAAAAAGACCCAAGAAACAUCCAAAAAAACCACACUUAAAUAGCAUCCAUUUCAUACUAUAAUAUAGUAACCUAAUUUUCUGCAAACGCAAAAUAGAUUGAAAUAAUCAGAACCUUAAAAAAAACAAGUACAAAUUUAACACAUCAAACAAUAUCUUCUUUACAGCAAAUGCACUUAUCAAAUACAAAAUCAACAUAGGCUACCUAUGUCAAAUUAUGUGGAAAGAGUGAGAAAAAUACUUUUUUAUAUAACAAAUAUCGAUCUUCUCUGAAUAGGAUAGGCAAACUUGUUUGCAGGGGAAGCAACUCAAAUAUGUAUAGUUAAUAUUACUCUCGUCACUAUAACUAUCCAAUUAACGGGAAACAUCAUUAUGUUACAUAAUGUCAUGUAGUAGAAAUAUAAAAAUCUAUGUAUAUUUAAUGUUUUUGUGUGUUUUUAGGGUCUUUUUUUUUUGGUAAAUCGUGCUGCCAGUGUCAAUCCAGUAAGCCUAGAAAUCUGUGGAUAGUCAAACAACUAAUGUCUUUACUGGUAAGGGCCUCUCUGAGAAGAACGGCAGAUUUCCCAGUACUUGGAGUAACUGUCACGUUUUUACUUAUUGAUAUAACGUUAGUUUCAAUGAUAUGUGAAAGCACAAAGGAUUUCCCAGACUAUCCCUGGAAAAAUAACAAAAGUAUUGAAAAUCUUCAUUUUGAAAUUUGGCGGUACCGGUCUCUGUCGAAGCUUCUUCCCUUGUGUAUGCUUACAUAGACCUAAAUUAACUUUAGGUCUCUGAUGCUUAUGUGUGUUGUGACCCAUAUCAGUAUUUCAGACACUUGUAACGAGCCCCUGUGAGUAAAGCCUUAGUGAGCACUACAAACGACGCUCAAACUUUUUCUCCGACGAGUUUCUUUUAAUAGCCGACACCCAUAGCAACUUCUGUCUGUCUUCUCUGGGAAUAUAUGGCCUCUUCUUUAAAUGCAAUACGGGACACAACAACACGUUUUCGGCAUAAUAAUGACAGACUAGUUGUUACCGCGUACCCGC
rnacentral:lncRNA from 1 species